rnacentral:rRNA from 1 species
GGCGGCGUGCUUAACACAUGCAAGUCGAACGGAAAGGCCCUGCUUUUGUGGGGUGCUCGAGUGGCGAACGGGUGAGUAACACGUGAGUAACCUGCCCUUGACUUUGGGAUAACUUCAGGAAACUGGGGCUAAUACCGGAUAGGAGCUCCUGCUGCAUGGUGGGGGUUGGAAAGUUUCGGCGGUUGGGGAUGGACUCGCGGCUUAUCAGCUUGUUGGUGGGGUAGUGGCUUACCAAGGCUUUGACGGGUAGCCGGCCUGAGAGGGUGACCGGCCACAUUGGGACUGAGAUACGGCCCAGACUCCUACGGGAGGCAGCAGUGGGGAAUAUUGCACAAUGGGCGGAAGCCUGAUGCAGCAACGCCGCGUGCGGGAUGACGGCCUUCGGGUUGUAAACCGCUUUCGCCUGUGACGAAGCGUGAGUGACGGUAAUGGGUAAAGAAGCACCGGCUAACUACGUGCCAGCAGCCGCGGUGAUACGUAGGGUGCGAGCGUUGUCCGGAUUUAUUGGGCGUAAAGGGCUCGUAGGUGGUUGAUCGCGUCGGAAGUGUAAUCUUGGGGCUUAACCCUGAGCGUGCUUUCGAUACGGGUUGACUUGAGGAAGGUAGGGGAGAAUGGAAUUCCUGGUGGAGCGGUGGAAUGCGCAGAUAUCAGGAGGAACACCAGUGGCGAAGGCGGUUCUCUGGGCCUUUCCUGACGCUGAGGAGCGAAAGCGUGGGGAGCGAACAGGCUUAGAUACCCUGGUAGUCCACGCUGUAAACGGUGGGUACUAGGUGUGGGGUCCAUUCCACGGGUUCCGUGCCGUAGCUAACGCUUUAAGUACCCCGCCUGGGGAGUACGGCCGCAAGGCUAAAACUCAAAGGAAUUGACGGGGCCCCGCACAAGCGGCGGAGCAUGCGGAUUAAUUCGAUGCAACGCGUAGAACCUUACCUGGGUUUGACAUGGAUCGGGAGUGCUCAGAGAUGGGUGUGCCUCUUUUGGGGUCGGUUCACAGGUGGUGCAUGCCUGUCGUCAGCUCGUGUCGUGAGAUGUUGGGUUAAGUCCCGCAACGAGCGCAACCCUUGUUCACUGUUGCCAGCACGUUAUGGUGGGGACUCAGUGGAGACCGCCGGGGUCAACUCGGAGGAAGGUGGGGAUGACGUCAAGUCCUCAUGCCCCUUAUGUCCAGGGCUUCACGCAUGCUACAAUGGCUGGUACAGAGAGUGGCGAGCCUGUGAGGGUGAGCGAAUCUCGGAAAGCCGGUCUCAGUUCGGAUUGGGGUCUGCAACUCGACCUCAUGAAGUCGGAGUCGCUAGUAAUCGCAGAUCAGCAACGCUGCGGUGAAUACGUUCCCGGGGCUUGUACACACCGCCCGUCAAGUCAUGAAAGUUGGUAACACCCGAAGCCGGUGGCCUAACCAUUGUGGGGGAGCCGUCGAAGGUGGGACUGGUGAUUAGGACUAAA